CUCUUCUCCUGAGAGCUGAAGUCAGCCAAGUGCAACCAUAAGCCCUGCAAGAUGCUGAUAUUCACAAACUAGUCCUCCCACUCUUUUCUGCCUCAACAUUCCCCGCCUUGUUUUCUGACUUUCCUUCUUGUCCCAGACGUCUCCAGGCUAGACAAGCCUUUGCUGUGGUGAACUAACUAAGCCCUUUGGGCAUGGAGAAGACAAAACAGUACUUCCAGCUCCAGCUUGCAAACAGAUGUAUGAUGAGUCUUUACUGUACCAAAAAUUGAGCUGUUGAUUUUAAACGCCUGGGACAGAGUGCCUGGGAAAUGAGAGUGCCAUGUGCUGAAUGGCUGAGCCGCCUCUUCUUGGGAAGGCCCUCCGGGAGUCAGCUGACAGGCUCUGUAAUCCUUCUCCACUCUCAGAACUAUGGAGGAGCGAGGUGGAGCCUUGUACUUCUGAGAAAGGAUAUAAAGCUGCUGGCAUUUGCCCACUAUAAGGAACAAGGACCUGCUCACAGAAAACAAACAAACAAACAAAAAAAGCAAAAUGAAGAAUCUCAAAGGAGUCCCCUUGAGAGCUGAAAACUGACUUUCCCUGACGUGGAAAAAAAAAGUAGUUUACACCAUUUCAACAGAUCCUGAUUGCUCCAAGUGGUGUCCAAGCUGUUGGAUCUGUUCGGCUGAGGCCUGGGAAGGUUUUGAAACAUCAAACUGAAGGCUAGAUCCUUUGAGACGAGAGACUUCUCAGAUUAAAAGCAGAGCCUGGGACACAAGAGACAUGGAAAAGAGAGAAGAAAGGUAUUUUCUUGGCAACAAAGCUG
rnacentral:lncRNA from 1 species